UACGUAGGGUGCAAGCGUUAAUCGGAAUUACUGGGCGUAAAGCGUGCGCAGGCGGUUUUGCAAGACAGCUGUGAAAUCCCCGGGCUCAACCUGGGAACUGCAUUUGUGACUGCAUGGCUAGAGUACGGUAGAGGGGGAUGGAAUUCCGCGUGUAGCAGCGAAAUGCGUAGAUAUGCGGAGGAACACCGAUGGCGAAGGCAAUCCCCUGGACCUGUACUGACGCUCAUGCACGAAAGCGUGGGGAGCAAACAGG
rnacentral:rRNA from 1 species